UUAACAUAAUAAGGGUCUAUUAUUUAUUCAAACAUAACAAGACAUCAAAUACCCUCUUAAAACUACAAUUUAUAAGGGCAAAAGAGUGAAAUCACAGGCACUGCUAAAAAAAAAAAGAAGAAGAAGAAGAGAAGAAAAGGCAAGAAGUUUCAGUAAAUUCCCCAACUAAGGGUUAAUCGUAAUUGAACAUAACCCCCCCUUAUCCCUAAACCCUUGUCGUCUUCCCCUCCCUUGUUCCUCGACACCGUGCAGCCGUCGUAGUUGUCGGACUGCAACUAAGGUAAACAUGGAAGACUAUGCAGUGUAUGGAAGGGCUGGAUUGGACAAAGAUAAAGUAAUCUUAAGUAUCAACGUUACUACAUUCAUAAAUCCACAUGUACUCCAAACAUGAUUAACCAUGUUUCUGUGUUUGCUUCUACUGGAGAAGCCUCCAAUUUUGACGAGGACCUAUGACUUUCUUCAAAGGCUUAUUACAGGGCUAUUAUCGAAUAUGGUGGAAGUACAGAGCUUGCAUCUUUAUACAUUCAAGGAAAUUUUCUGCAACCACAAGCCUUUGGAGUAUUUAGCGUAGCAUCAAUAACAACUGGUUUUGUCAUCCUUGAUGAACAUGGAGUUCCUUAUCAAGAUGAUCAACCUUGUGUUGGAGAAGUGGGUUUUUUUCCAGUAUACAUGGGAGCAACUGACAGAUUGCUCAAUGCUGAUUGAUCAUAAGGAGGUCUACUUCAAAGGAAUGCCAAUGUACAAAUGAAUGAACACUUGAAGAUGGAAUUCUCAAGGGAGAUCCAAAGCAACCUCAGUCCCUUGUUUAAGGUGAGCCACGUUAGGAUUAUCAUGGAGUUUCCAAGAACUGGUUCAAACAAGUUACUGAGGAGAGUUCUGAGGGACCAAUAAAAACUGAACCUGCUUCUCGCAGUUGACUUUAGCUGUUAUGGUGAUUUUCCCAUGUGAUCAAUCCCCUUUUUGCUCUGUUUUUAUGAUAGAUGUGGUAAGUGGGAAACAGACAAGGAAGCAGCAGUCCGAAUUGUAAUCCUCUGUUCCAUAGGUAAAUCCGUAGCUUGAGGUUCAAAUACAAAAAAUUUG